GACGAACGCUGGCGGCGUGCUUAACACAUGCAAGUCGAACGGAAAGGCCCUGCUUUUGUGGGGUGCUCGAGUGGCGAACGGGUGAGUAACACGUGAGUAACCUGCCCUUGACUUUGGGAUAACUUCAGGAAACUGGGGCUAAUACCGGAUAGGAGCUCCUGCUGCAUGGUGGGGGUUGGAAAGUUUCGGCGGUUGGAGAUGGACUCGCGGCUUAUCAGCUUGUUGGUGGGGUAGUGGCUUACCAAGGCUUUGACGGGUAGCCGGCCUGAGAGGGUGACCGGCCACAUUGGGACUGAGAUACGGCCCAGACUCCUACGGGAGGCAGCAGUGGGGAAUAUUGCACAAUGGGCGGAAGCCUGAUGCAGCAACGCCGCAUGCGGGAUGACGGCCUUCGGGUUGUAAACCGCUUUCGCCUGCGACGAAGCGUGAGUGACGGUAAUGGGUAAAGAAGCACCGGCUAACUACGUG
rnacentral:rRNA from 1 species